UAGGAGAUAAAAAUAAAAAGAGCCGCUCCAUCCUGGCUACGACAACGGUAAAUCUAUGAGGUAUUUCUAGAUCCUAAAGCAAGUACGAGGAUUCGAAUACAUCAAAAGCUUAAUAACGAACGUCUUCGUAUCGUAUCAAAUAAUAAAACAUCUGUUGGACAAGCGGCAACUGACGUUUCGUAUCUAUGGGCGGCAGCAAGUGUUACGAUAGGGGAAAAGUGAUGAAAAAAGAUAAAGAUAAAAACAAGUAUUUUUACGUAACGAUCGUUAUUGGGGAUAAAUGUUUGUGCUCAUAAAAAUGAUGGCGUAGCCUUAGGGCAAGGUAGCUCGAAGAUCAGGAAUUCGCAAACGAAAUUAUUUUACGAAUUCGCCAACGACUCGAGGCGACUUGCUCGGUUUCAAUUCCGGGGAUUUGGAAUUCUUUAUAUCGAAUUCCGAGUGUUUGAGAGCGUUGCUAACCGAUCAGCACAGCUUUGAGGUUGACGUCAUUCCCCUCGGAAAGAGAAUAUGACGAAGAGGAUUGACAGGCAUGUUGGGUGACAUGGGAUCAUAUUGAACAUAAAGAACACCACUGCCAUCAUAAUUAUCGUCAUCGAGGGCAAGAUCGGGGUAGCAACAAAUAGGACAAUAGAUCGGCGUGAAACGUGGGACAAAGGAUUAUUUAAAGGGGACGAACACGUUAGGAGUUAAUGAGCCGGUGGAACGGUAUGCGAGGCCUUCCAUGAUGAAUGGAGAGAAUUGAAUGGAGAGGUGCGGCUGCUGGUUCCAGCCAACUGUCUCUCGUUCGUCGAGUGGUGCAGCUUUUAUGAUGGGCUCAAUUAGACGGUCGUCAGCGGUAAUUAAGGGCGGUUAGAAUAACAAAUUAGGAUAAGCCCCACCUUGGGUAUUCACAUAACACGGUGUCACGUACAAUUCUUGCGAAUUAAAAUGGCAACAGUACGAAAUUAUCGAUUAUUACGAAGGCGCCAGACGCAGGGUACGUACCUCUACAGGCUACGCGGUGAGUCAGAAGGGGUUAGUCG